rnacentral:lncRNA from 1 species
UCCCCAUCGCUGACCUCUUAUCAUCAGCAACUAUACUUAGAAGUUCAUCCAUGUCAUUUGAUACUAACAGUUGAACACCUUCUGAAGGUAGCACCACGUCUUUCAACUGUCGUAUGCUUCUUCUUGAAAGUGAAUGCAUAAGACUAGAACCUUUAACGAUUGUGUUUGCAACCUCAAAUGACAAAAUAGAUAGCUCAUUUCCUUUAAUUGCUGCACCAGAAACAAAUCCACUGCUUAAAUUCAAAUUAUUCAAGCUGCUCCCAAUGGUGUCCAAUGCUUGCACGGUCCUUAUAAAUCCAGCACUUCCAGCUCUACCUAGACGAGAACUUACUUCUGCAACCU